UACGAAGGGGGCUAGCGUUGCUCGGAAUCACUGGGCGUAAAGGGUGCGUAGGCGGGUCUUUAAGUCAGGGGUGAAAUCUCCUGGCUCAACUGGGAGGGUGCGCCGGAAACUGGAGUGCUUGAGCGUGGGAGAGGAAAGCGGAAUUCCUGGUGUAGCGGUGAAAUGCGUAGAUAUCAGGAGGAACACCUGUGGUGUAGACGGCUUUCUGGACCAUAGCUGACGCUGAGACACGAAAGCGUGGGUAGCAAACAGG
rnacentral:rRNA from 1 species